GUUGCCUUUUAUUAUCGAUAUAUUAUCCCAAGAAAAAUGAAACGUUUUGCAUAAUUUUUUCAAGUAUUUCUCCAAUGAUCUUUAUUCGUGACACUGCGCACCACAUUGUGACACGGUUACUACGCAAAGGCCUCUGGUGUAUUUCCUGUGGGUUUUUAUCACUCCAAUAUCGAAUAUUUUGUUUAUUUACACAGUCGGAAAGAUGAAAUUGCUACACACUUGUUUUUACGAAAAUAAG